GACGAACGCUGACGGCGUGCUUAACACAUGCAAGUCGAAGGGAGUGGCGAACGGGUGAGUAACACGUGAGUAACCUGCCCUUUUCUUUGGGAUAAGACUGGGAAACUGGGUCUAAUACUGGUUGGGAUGGGCUGGGCUGGCGGCUUGUAAGCUUGUUGGUGGGGUGAGGGCUUACCAAGGCUUUGACGGGUAGCCGGCAUGAGAGGGUGGUCGGUAACACUGGGACGGGGAUAAGGCCCAGGCUCCGACGGGGGGCAGAAGUGGGGGAUAUUGCACAAUGGACGAAAGUCUGAUGCAGCGAGGUCGUGGGGGGGAUGAGGGCCUUAGGGUAGUAAACUCCUUUCGCCAGGGGAAUGGUAGUGGGUAAAGAAGCGCCGGCUAACUACGUGCCAGCAGCCGCGGUAAUAC
rnacentral:rRNA from 1 species